rnacentral:rRNA from 1 species
GACGAACGCUGGCGGCGUGCCUAAUACAUGCAAGUCGAACGCUGAAGCGAGGAGCUUGCUCUUCUUGGCUUAGUUGCGAACGGGUGAGUAACGCGUAGGUAACCUGCCUUUUAGCGGGGGAUAACUAUUGGAAACGAUAGCUAAUACCGCAUAACAUUGUAUACCACAUGUCUUUUAUUUGAAGGGGGCAAUUGCUCCACUACAAGAUGGACCUGCGUUGUCUUAGCUUGUAGGUGAGGUAAUGGCUCACCUAGGCGACGAUACCUAACCGACCUGGGAGGGUGAAUCGGCAAACUGGGAACGGGACCAGGGCCAGGCUUCUAAGGGAGGGAGCAGGAGGGGAACUUCGGGAAAGGGGGGAACGCUGGACGAGGAAAGCCGGGGGAGGGAAGAAGGGUUUCGGAUUGGAAAGAUCCGUUGUAAGGCAAGAAAGAAUGUGAGAGUUGAAAGUGCACACUGUGACGGUAGCUAACCAGAAAGGGACGGCUAACUACGUG